rnacentral:rRNA from 1 species
GACGAACCGAGCGAACGUUGUUCGGAAUCACUGGGCUUAAAGGGCGCGUAGGCGGGCUGCCGCGUCCGGGGUGAAAUCCCACGGCUCAACCGUGGAACGGCCCCGGGUACGGGCGGCCUCGAGGAAGGUAGGGGCGUGCGGAACUGUGGGUGGAGCGGUGAAAUGCGUUGAUAUCCACAGGAACUCCGGUGGCGAAGGCGGCACGCUGGACCUUUUCUGACGCUGAGGCGCGAAAGCCAGGGGGAGCGAACGGG